CAGGGAGGGUGAGACAGCAACAUGGUAGAGAGGGAGAGAGAGACAUGGUAGAGAGGGAGAGAGAGAGACAUGGUAGAGAAGGAGAGAGAGACAUGGUAGAGAAGGAGAGAGAGACAUGGUAGAGAGGGAGAGAGAGACAUGGUAUAGAGGGAGAGAGAGACAUGGUAUAGAGGGAGAGAGAGACAUGGUAGAGAGGGAGAGAGAGACAUGGUGGACAGGGAGAGAGAGACAUGGUGGAGAGGGAGAGAGAGACAUGGUGGAGAGGGAGAGAGAGACAUGGUGGAGAGGGAGAGAGAGACAUGGUGGAGAGGGAGAGAGAGACAUGGUAUAGAGGGAGAGAGAGACAUGGUAGAGAGGGAGAGAGAGACAUGGUAGAGAGGGAGAGAGAGACAUGGUAGAGAGGGAGAGAGAGACAUGGUAGAGAGGGAGAGAGAGACAUGGUAGAGAGGGAGAGAGAGACAUGGUAGAGAGGGAGAGAGAGACAUGGUAGAGAGGGAGAGAGAGACAUGGUAGAGAGGUAGAGAGAGACAUGGUAGAGAGGGAGAGAGAGACAUGGUAGAGAGGGAGAGAGAGACAUGGUGGACAGGGAGAGAGAGACAUUGUGGACAGGGAGAGAGAGACAUGGUGGACAGGGAGAGAGAGACAUGGUAGAGAGGGAGAGAGAGACAUGGUAGAGAGGGAGAGAGAGACAUGGUAGAGAGGGAGAGAGAGACAUGGUAGAGAGGGAGAGAGAGAGACAUGGUGGAGAGGUCUGACAAGAGGGAGAAGGGCUCAGAGGGCUGAGACUGGGGCAGGGUUAGCGAGGGGGAGUUACUUAGACUAGGUAGGGUUGUCACAUUCCAGUGUAAAUAUGGAAUAGGUGAAAAGAGAGGUCGUCCUAAAAGUAAUCUGAGAAGAGACUGAGGUUCAGUGAACUGCAGGUCAUACAUUAAAUAAUGGGCUAUAUUUACUCAAUGAUUUCACCAGCACACAUACUGCAAACAUAAACACUUGGUAAAUGUAUAGAUAAACACUUGGUAAAUGUAUAGAUAAACACUUGGUAAAUGUAUAGAUAAACAUAAUGCUACAACAUGAAUCUGCACAUUAUGAAUUCCUUUUCUUGUCCUUAAACCCUCCUCCAACUCCGCCUCCUCCCCUCCCUGUACCAUAGACUCCUCCCCCUUCCUCCUCCUCCACCCAUCACAUGAGAGUGUGUUAUGUCAUCAGGUUUCCCCUGUUUGUGCUUCCCUCCGUAUAGGCAACCCUGCAGAUCCAUCUCUCUAUCCAUCACUCCAUCCAUCUCUAUCUAUCUUUCUAUCUACCUCCCACCUUACCUUAUGACAAAUACCUCUGUUCCUCAGGCAUAUUCUUCUGCAGGGUGCUUUGUCUGACCUGUUAGGGCUUGGCUUGAACAAAAGCCUGAACACUGCGGCCCUGGAGGACCAGAGUUGCCCAUAUAUGUCUUAAAAGGUCAAAUGUGGGCAAAACCUCCACAGACACAAUGAGGGACACUGAGCCUUUGAGUUUUGCUCUGUCGGCUGUUCUAUUUCUCGUUCCUGUGAGUCCAUCUCUUAUCAAAAGCACACAUAGCUCUGUGAUCCCUCUUGUUCCUAAAGCUGAGUACAGAAAACAGGUCUUGGGUGAUAUAGUAUAGCAAUAAGGUCAGAGGGGGUGUGGUAUAUGGCCAAUAUACCACGACGAAGGUACCUGGAUACAGCCCUUAGCCGUGGUAUAUUGUCCACAUAAAACAAACCCCAGAGAUGCCUUACCGCUAUUAUAAACAGGUUCCGAAUGUAAUUAGAACAGUACAAAUAAAUGUUUUGUCAUAUAUGGUCUCAUAUACCACGGCUUUCAGCCAAUCAGCAUUCAGGGCUGGAACCACCCAAUUUAUAAUGAAGCAUAGUAGGCAGAUGUAUGUGAGCAUAACCUCAGUCUCAUCAGUAGCUGUGUGCUCCCUUUGUACCUUCUAACAAAUGUUUAAUGCAAUAAGUAAACAGUACACAUAUAUAACAUACGCCCCCUUUUCUGCAUUGUUUUCCUUGCUGAAUAAAUAUACUACCUAUCCACUAACACACCCAACCUAUCGCUUACAAACUUAAGUUUGUCCUCAUGUGCCAUUGCGGGGUAAGGAAGGGUAGGGUCAGGCGUGAUAGCAAAGAGCAACUGUGCUAACUGUGCACACAACACACACACACACACACACACACACACACACACACACACACAGCAGCCCAGUGACCUUUCCCCUACUUCCUCUACCAGCCCCUAGGUGCUUACUGGGAGAAGUGUAGGAAUCCAGUCAGUAUUCUGUAA
ensembl:lncRNA